rnacentral:lncRNA from 1 species
AAAAAGAGGAAGGGGAAUGUCAGUUUGGGCAGGCACUGGGGUCAAGCGGUUUAAACGAAAUACAAGAGGCUAAUUAGUUAAUAAACUCUAUGUCAUAGCCUGUGCAUUUGCGCCGAAGCAAUGUGUGGGUUGGCCAAUCCCUUGAUUCCAUACCCUCUUCUCACUUCACUGAUGUAGUAAUACCCUCAGGACUCAAGAGAAUCAUUGCACCAGAACAGUAAGUGUAUAUAAAGAAUGCUGUUCUACUAUAUGCUGUUCUACUAUCUGUUGAGAUGUUUCCACAUGUGACCCAAGAGAAUAAAGAGAACAUCUCUCUCCUCGAGACUAAAAUGUAUGGCAAUGCAUUCUUAAACACGUAAAAACAUUCUUGUGUAUACCUAUCCCUAACACUUUAGAGUAAUGAAAUGAUUCAAAAAUGUCACUUUAUAACCUAUAUGUUAGUAAUAUAAAAUAUAAGUGUAAAAUUAGAAUAUUCUCUACUGCCUAUUACUCAUACUGUCAAACUGUCAAAAUAAUAUACUUAUAUUUCCUCAGUAAAUACAUAAAUGCUGAUUUAUACUAUAUCUUAUAACCCUUAUGCUUUCUUCCUGCCUCCCUGGUUUUCUGCUGUUUUUAUAAGAAUGAAGAUAGAGACAUACAUGCAAUAGAAAUAGAGAAACUAGCUUAUUUUUUGCUCUUUUAUUCUGAUCCAAAUGUUAAUCAUUUAGAAACUCAAGUGGAUGGACAGAGGUAGAGAUAAGGUUAGCCAUUCUUAGAUUAUCUUUGUAGGAGGAGUAGCAAGAGAAGACUUGUGAUUUCUUCAUUAAUCCAUUUAUUCAUUCAUUCAAAAUUUGUUUUUGUGUCUAUUUUAUAAAAGGCCUAGACUACCUGACAAAAGAAAUGGAUAUGGUUCCUCUCCUCUAAAUGCCUAAACUGUUGUAAAUGGCAAGAUCUUGUUCUUUUUUGUGGCUGAGUAAUACCCCAUUAUAUAUGUACACCACAGCAUUUUUAUCUAUUUUUAGAUAAAGGGACACCUGGACUGCUUCCAUUUCUUGGCUAUUGUAAAUAAUGCUGCAAUAAAAAUAGGGGUGCAUGUAUUUUUGAAAUUAAUGUGUUCAUUGUCUUUGAGUUAAUGCCCAAUAGCGGAAUUACCAGAUCUCAUGGUGGUUCUCUUUUUUAAUUUUUUGAGGAAACUCCAUACUGCUUUCCACAGUGGCUGCACCAAUCUACAUUCCCACCAACAGUGCAGAAGGUUCCUUUUUCUUCAUAUCCUUACCCACACUUGUUAUUUUUUUUUUUAUACUAGCCAUUCUGACCGGGGUAAGGUGAUAUCUCCUUGUGGUUUUGAUUUGCACUUCCCUGAUGAUUACUGAUAUUGAGCAUCUUUUCAUGUGUCUAUUGGCCAUCUCUAUGUCUUCUUUGGAAAAAUGUAUGGAUAGACCUUGAGGGUAUUAUACUAAGUGAAAUUAAGUUAGACAGAGAACAACAAAUACCAUAUGAUUUCACUUACAUGUGGAAUUGAAAAAAACAAAACAAAGCAGAAAGAGACCCAUUAACACAUAGAAUAAACUGGUGGUUUCUGGAUGGGAUGGGGUGGGGGAUGGGCAAAAUGGGUGAAGGGGAGUGGGGACAUAAUCUUCCACUUAUGGAAUAUAUACAUUACAGGGAUGAAAGGUACACCACAAGGAAUAUAGCCAAUGGUAUUGUACUAGCACUGUAUGGUAAGAGAUGAUGGCUACUACACUCACAGAGAGCAUAGCAUAACGCAUAGAGUUGUCCAAUCACUAUGCUUCGCACCUAAAACUAAUGUAACAUUGUAUGUCACCUAUACUUCAAUAAAAGAAACUGUAAAAAAGGCUAAAAAUGUAAGACAUUUUUAAAUAAAGGAACACAAAGUGUAUCAUUACAAGUUGUGUUAAAUGCUGUGAAGGAAAAGUUCAAGUGCUCUGAUAGAAACUAUGGGGGAGACUAGUUGAGAUUGAUGGGCUCAGAGAAAGCUGUUCUAAGCCAAAGAUACAGAUGGAAACUCUUUAUAAAGUUAAAAAACAACAACAACACAUAAUUCUAUUUUCUCACAUCUUUGGGUAAUUGAGUUAAGGAAGUUCUUUGCUUACCUGGAUUUUUGUGAUAACUUCCUAACUGGCCCCGUGCUUCUACUGCAGUCUCUUCUUCAUGCAUAGCCCAAGAGUUCCAUUAGAAAUGUAAGGCAAAAAAAAAGGAAGGCAGAGGGUGUUACUCCUCUGCUCAUAACACUGCUAUAAAGAUGCCUUCAAAACUGGUAACAGUAGUUUCUGAGAAUGGAAACUGGAAGCCUGGGGCACAGGGAUGAGAGGAAGGCUUGCAUUUACUGUAUACUCUUUUGUACCUUUUGAAUUUUUCUGUCAUAUUCAUGCAUUGCAAAUUUGACUAAAUAGGUGGAGUGUACAAUUUUUCAUUUAAAUCUGGACACAGGGGGAUCCCUGGCGGUUUAGCGCCUGCCUUCAGCCCACGGUGUGAUCCUGGAGUCCCGGGAUUGAGUCCCACGUUGGGCUCCCUGUAUGGAGCCUGCUUCUUCCUCUGCCUGUGUCUCUGCCUCUCCCUCUCUCCCUCUCUGUGUCUCUCAUGAAUAAAUAAAUAAAAUAUUUAAAAUAAAAUAAAUAAAAUAAACCUGGACACUUUUGAGAAUGACAGGUGAUAAUAUUAAUAGUCACCAUGAGGCAAUGACAUAAAAGGGAGCUGUCCAGGUCAACAAGGAUUACCAAACCUUGACUCUCGCUCCUUACUCCUGUUACCCUAAUAUUCUAGGCACAUUCGUAUACUUAUAUACACAUAGAGCACACCAGCAGGUCUGCUCCCAUCUCAGGAUCUUUGCACCUGAUCUUCUCUAAGCUUGGAUCAUUCUUCUUCUUGAGCUCCAAAUCCAUUGCUUGCUCACUUCCUUCAUGUUUUCCCCAAGUAUCGCCUUCUCUGACCACUCUUUUUAUAAGUACAAUCCACUCUAACCCUCUUUUUUUUGAUUCUGAGAGCUUCACACUAUGCUAAGUUUGCCACAGGCUGAUUAAUCAAAUUACACUUUUUAGUGUAUCAGUUACAACUUCAACUACAUUGUAAGUUCCUAGAUGACCAAGAUAUGGCUUUUUCACUUUUCAAUUUCCCACAGAUCUCAACAUAGCCAAUACUUAGUAAACAGUUACAAUGAAUUGAGCAAAUGACACAAUUUCAAAAAGCAUUAUGUAUGUUUAUUGUUUAUUGUUGAACUCUCUCCAUUAAAAUAGAUGUUUCACAAGUGCAUUUUGGUCUGUUUUGUUCACUGCUGAAUCCCAAGCAUCCAGAUACACCUAGCACAUAGCAGGUGCUCAUUAAGUACUUGUUAAUGAAUAUUGGGUGUCACUGUCAUCCAAAUCAGUAGACUGAGGUCUAUGUUCUGGGGUAGGGUCCAGAAGCUUUGUCUGAGUACAGAAGUAGAAGAGACUGGCUCAAAAAUGUGGGGAAUGGAAUCAGGGAGGCUCAGAAAUAUAGAUAUGGAAACAGAGAGAGAGAGAGCCAAAAACUACAAUAGAAUAUCCAAAUAUCCAAAUAGGCAUCAUUUAAAGGACUCAGACAAAGACACCAAAAGAAGUGGACACGUAAGGCAUAAUUGGAGAUGAUGAGACACAACCAGUAGGUUAGACAGCAAGUAGGGGUAGUAGAGAGUUUUCUGGUGUUCUGAUUAUGUGCAGAAUCUAUUGGAAUGUGGGCUGGAUCAUCUAAAAUAAGGUAGUUCUUUCUUACACAGUAACUGCUGGGAUCUCUAGAAGAAUUUAGGGAACUGUAGUUAACCUGAGUAAUAAUGAGCUGAUCUAAUGAUUGAUGAUCGUCCAAAGGAAAGCAAAGUUCAAGGGAAUCGGGAAACAUUUUACUACAGUUGUUUUUACAUCCACAUCAUAGAGUCUGAAAUUUUCUGUGUGCUCUUUAAAGUAGCACUCGAGAAGUACAAAUAGCAUCCCUCAGAAUCUACUGGUUACAGGGUGAUGUCAGCAGGCCACAGAGAAAUGGACAGAACAAGCUCUUCUGUUCAUGUUGAAAUCCACCAUGCUUGCAUAUUAAAACAGCCCUUUAUUCUAGGGAUGAUAUUAUAGGGAGAUAAUGCUCUCUGAAUAUUCACCUUCUUAAAGGUUGUUAUGAUAAAGAUGUAACGGCAUGCUCUCCUGGGAAGAAGGACAUGCUCUGAAGAUGUACUAUUUUCUGAGUAUUUCUAUUAUACUAGGCUUAUUUAUUAUACAGCUGACCCCUAUUUAAUUGAGGGUUUGGGGAUAAAUUCCAAAAAUUCCACCCUUAUUUUGACAGAUACUUGAUAGUAUUUUAAUCAACUAAAUUGAUAUGUAAUUUACAUAAAAUAAGUUGAACCCGUGUUAAGUGUACAAUUUGAAGAGUUUUCACCAACGUGUACACCUGUGAAACCAGCACAGCAAUCAAGAUAGUGCAGAACAUUUCCAUUCAUACAAAAAUGUCCUUAAGUCCAUUUGUAGUCAAUCCUAUUCUCCACACCUAGCCUUUAGGUAGGCUACCACUGAUCUGCUUUCUAUCACUACACAUUAAUUUACAUUUUAUAAAAUUUUAUGUAAAUGGCACCAUACAGUGUGUACUCUUUUGUGUCUGGCUCAUUUCAUUCAGCAUAAUGCCUUUGAGAUUUAUACAUAUUAUUAUGUGCAUGACUAGGGUUUUUUUAUUGCUGAAGGGCAUUCCAUUGUAUGACUAUACCACAUUUUGUUUAUCCAUUCACCUGUUGAUGGACAUUUGGGUAAUUUCCAUUUUGCAGCUGUUAUGAACACAGCUGUAUGAACAUUCACGUACAGGUCUUUAUAUGGCCAUAGGAGUUCUUUUCUCUCAGGUAAAUAGCUAAAGAUGAAAAUGCUUGGUCUUAUGAUAGGUGUAUGUUUAACUUUAUAAGGAAAACCAAGCAGUUUCCCAAAGUAUUGUAAAUUUUUUUUUUUACUUUCACCUGUAAUAUACGAGAGUUCUAGUUGCUAGACAUCUUUGCCAAUGGUUGAUAGUGCCGACUCUUCAAUUUUAGUCCUUCUACCAGGUAUAUGGUGGUACCUUACUGUGGGUUUAAUCAGCAUCCCCUAAGAAGUAAGGAUGUUGAACAUCUUUUUAUAUGCUCAUUGGUCUAUUGUGUAGUGUCUGUUCAAAUCUCUUGUCCAUCUCUCUUCUCUUAAAAUUUAGUUGUAGAAGUUCUUUUCAGAUUUUGGAGAGACUUUGUUUUCAAAUAUCUAUAUGGAAAAUAUUUCCUCCCAGCAUAUGAUUUUUUUUCUAUUUUUUAAAAAUUGUAUCUUUCAAGGAAUAACUUUUUUUAAAUUUGGAUUAAUCGAAAACAUACCAUAUAACUGAUAUAUGAAUUUUUUCCUCCAUAGUUCAUACUUUUUGAGUUCUAAGACAUCUUCAUCUAUAGAAGGCAACAGAUUUUUUUUUGUUUUUCCCUAUAAGUUUUAUAAUGUUAAUUUUCACGUGUAGAUCUAUGAUCCAUUUUAAUUUUUAUCUUUGAUACGAUGUAAAAUCAAGGUUCAGGUUUUUAUAUGGAUAUCCAAAUACUCCAGUAUCAUUAUUGAAAAACUCUCCCAUUUAAUUAUCUUGAAUCAUCUGCCAAAAUUCAAUCAACCAUAUACAUGUUGUCUUCUAGAGUCCCUGUUGAGGGAUAUAAUCUAUGUUUUCACUAAUCCUACUACUGUAGAAAUUGCUCUAGCUUUGUAGUAAAUCUUGAAAACAGGUAGUAUAGGUUCUCCAACUUUGUUUUUUCUUUUUCCAUAUUCCUUUGGCUAUUCCAAGUUGUUUUCAUUUUUAUAUAAAUUUAGAAUUAGCUUAUAAAUUUUUCCCUCAAAAAGCCUCCUGAAAUUUUUAUUAGAGUUGUAUUUAAUAUAUAGUUCAAUUUGUAGAACUGACAUUUUAACUACUUUGAGUCUUCCAUCCAUAAACAUUUAUUUAGUUAUUCUUUAGUUUCAGUGAUGAAUUGUAGUUUUGAGUAAACAAGUAUUUUACAAUUUUUGUUAAAUUUAUAAAUUAAGUACACAAUGUUUUUGGAUGUUAUUGAAGUAGAAUAGUAUUUUUUAAUUUCAGUUUGCAACUUUUGUUGCUGUUAUAUAUAAAGACUUCUGUUUUUUGUAUACUGACUUCCUAUACUGCUAGCCUGACACGUUUACUUAUUCUAGUGGGUAUUUUGUGCAUAUGUAUUUCUUAGGAUUUUCCAAAUACAACAUCUACUUUUGAUCAAAACAUUUCAUCCUUCCCUAUUUUUCCUUUUUCCCUUUUAACUGCCUGAAAUCGUUAGGAUUUCCAGUAAACACUGAAUAUAAAUAGUGAGAAUAAAUGUCCUUUCCUUGUUCUCAAACUUAGGGGGAAACAUUGUCUUUCACCACAGAAUAUGAUAUCCAUAGAAAGUGUUUCGUGUGGACCCUUUACCACAAAAGGAAGUCUUCUAUUCAUUGU